rnacentral:misc_RNA from 1 species
GAUGAAGAACGUAGCGAAAUGCGAUAAGUAGUGUGAAUUGCAGAAUUUAGUGAAUCAUCGAAUCUUUGAACGCACAUUGCGCCCUUUGGUAUUCCUUAGGGCAUGCCUGUUCGAGCGUCAUCUACAUCCUCAAGCACAGCUUGGUGAUGGGCGCCUGUCCCGCCCCCCACGGGGGCGCGGACUCGCCUCAAAUGCAUUGGCGGCCGGCGACCUGGCUUCGAGCGCAGCAGAAACGCGUACUCGGGGACCGGGCGCCCGCUCCCAGAAGCCAACCCACCCAGUUUGACCUCGGAUCAGGUAGGGAUACCCGCUGAACUUAAGCAUAUCAAUAAGCGGAGGA